UGGCGCCCAACAUGGGGCUUGAGAACGUGGUGGAUCAGUGAACGCCACACACCAAAGCAGGCCUGCAUAUCAGUUGGACCACCGUGGAGAACACUCCAAGAGUGAAGGUCUGGUCAAGUGAUCACCGCAGGACGCCUGACCGUGAGACAGAUCCGGGGAGUUGAUUUGUGCCCAUGCAAGGUAAGUUUACCAUGGGACAAGCAUUUAGUAAGCAGGAUUUAUUUAUUUCAGGACUUAAACAGUCUCUCAAGGCACAAGGAACAAGGGUUAAAAAGAAAGAUUUNAAAAAGUUUCUUGAUUAUAUUAGGGAUCUUUGCCCCU
rfam:Neotoma lepida isolate 417 scaffold_18336, whole genome shotgun sequence.